GCGGGCGUAGUUUAUCGGUAGAAUGGCGGCUUCCCAAGCCUCAGAGGGCGGUUCGACUCCGCUCGCCCGCUCCA
rnacentral:tRNA from 1 species